GAUGAACGCUAGCGGCGGGCCUAACACAUGCAAGUCGAGGGAGGAGCUUUCGGGCUUCGACCGGCGUCCGGUUGCGUAACGCGUAUACAAUCUGCCUUUCACUUAGGGAUAGCCCGAAGAAAUUUGGAUUAAUACCUAAUGGUAUCUAGGAGUGGCAUCACAUUUAUAUUAAAGCUGAGGCGGUGAAAGAUGAGUGUGCGUUCUAGUAGUUAGUUGGAGAGGUAACGGCUGCCCAAGGCGACGAUAGAUAGGGGUUGUGAGAGGGAUAUCCCCCGAACUGGAACGGAGAUACGGACCAUGAUCCUACGGGAAGAAGCAGUGGGGAAUAAUGGACGAUGGUCGGAAGACUGAUCCAGGCAUGCCGCGUGCAGAAAGACGGCCUUAGGGGUUGUAAACUGCUUUUGCAGGGGAAGAAUAAGGGCGACGAGUAGUUUGAUGACGGAACUGUGCGAAUAAGAAUCGGCUAAUACCGU
rnacentral:rRNA from 1 species